rnacentral:rRNA from 1 species
UAAGGAAUCUUGCGCAAUGGGCGAAAGCCAGACGCAGCGACGCCGCGUGGGCGAAGAAGGCCUUCGGGUUGUAAAGCCCUUUUCCAGGGGAAGAGGAAGGACGGUACCCUGGGAAUAAGUCCCGGCUAACUAUGUGCCAGCAGCCGCGGUAAGACAUAGGGGACGAGCGUUAUCCGGAUUUACGGGGCGUAAAGAGCGUUGAGGCGGUUCCGUAAGUUGGAUGUGAAAGCCCCGGGCUUAACUCGGGGAGGUCGUUCAAUACUGCGGGGCUAGAGGGCAGCAGAGGGAGGUGGAAUUCCCGGUGUAGUGGUGAAAUGCGUAGAUAUCGGGAGGAACACCCGUGGCGAAGGCGGCCUCCUGGGCUGACCCUGACGCUGAAUGCGAAAGCUAGGGGAGCGAACG